UACGGAGGGUGCAAGCGUUAUCCGGAUUCACUGGGUUUAAAGGGUGCGUAGGUGGGCAGUUAAGUCAGUGGUGAAAUCUCCGGGCUCAACCCGGAAACUGCCAUUGAUACUAUCUGUCUUGAAUAUCGUGGAGGUAAGCGGAAUAUGUCAUGUAGCGGUGAAAUGCUUAGAUAUGACAUAGAACACCAAUUGCGAAGGCAGCUUACUACCUGAAUACUGACACUGAGGCACGAAAGCGUGGGGAUCAAACAGG
rnacentral:rRNA from 1 species